GUGGGGAAUCUUCCGCAAUGGACGAAAGUCUGACGGAGCAACGCCGCGUGAGUGAUGAAGGUCUUCGGAUUGUAAAGCUCUGUUAAUCGGGACGAAAGAGCCUAGUGUGAAUAAUGCUAGGAAGUGACGGUACCGGAAUAGAAAGCCACGGCUAACUACGUGCCAGCAGCCGCGGUAAUACGUAGGUGGCAAGCGUUGUCCGGAAUUAUUGGUCGUAAAGCGCGCGCAGGCGGAUCUGCCAGUCUGUCUUAAAAGUUCGGGGCUUAACCCCGUGAUGGGAUGGAAACUACAGAGCUAGAGGAUCCGAGAGGAAAGAGGAAUUCCUAGUGUAGCGGUGAAAUGCGUAGAUAUUAGGAAGAACACCAGUGGCGAAGGCGACUUUCUGGACGAAAACUGACGCUGGGGCGCGAAAGCGUGGGGAGCAAACAGGAUUAGAUACCCUGGUAGUCC
rnacentral:rRNA from 1 species